AUACGGAGGAUGCGAGCGUUAUCCGGAUUUAUUGGGUUUAAAGGGAGCGCGGACGGGUGAUUAAGUCAGCUGUUAAAUAUCGGGGCCCAACCCCGUUAUGCGGUUGAUACUGGUUAUCUUGAGUGCGGCAUGGGCAGGCGGAAUUCACGGUGUAGCGGUGAAAUGCUUAGAUAUCGUGAAGAACUCCGAUCGCGAAGGCAGAUUGCCGGACCGUGACUGACGUUUAGGCUCGAAAGUGCGGGUAUCAAACAGGAUUAGAUACCCUGGUAGUCCGCACAGUAAACGAUGGACACUCGCUGUCGGCGACAGACAGUCGGCGGCCUAGCGAAAGCGUUAAGUGUCCCACCUGGGGAGUACGCCGGCAACGGUGAAACUCAAAUGAAUUGGCGGGG
rnacentral:rRNA from 1 species